rnacentral:rRNA from 1 species
AGAGUUUGAUCCUGGCUCAGAACGAACGCUGGCGGCAGGCUUAACACAUGCAAGUCGAGCGCCCCGCAAGGGGAGCGGCAGACGGGUGAGUAACGCGUGGGGAUCUGCCUAGUGGUACGGAACAACACAGGGAAACUUGUGCUAAUACCGUAUAAGUCCUUCGGGAGAAAGAUUUAUCGCCAUUAGAUGAACCCGCGUCUGAUUAGCUAGUUGGUGAGGUAAUGGCUCACCAAGGCGACGAUCAGUAGCUGGUCUGAGAGGAUGAUCAGCCACACUGGGACUGAGACACGGCCCAGACUCCUACGGGAGGCAGCAGUGGGGAAUAUUGGACAAUGGGCGCAAGCCUGAUCCAGCCAUGCCGCGUGUGUGAUGAAGGCCUUAGGGUUGUAAAGCACUUUCGUUGGGGAAGAUAAUGACGGUACCCAAAGAAGAAGCCCCGGCUAACUUCGUGCCAGCAGCCGCGGUAAUACGAAGGGGGCUAGCGUUGUUCGGAAUUACUGGGCGUAAAGCGCACGUAGGCGGACUUGUUAGUCAGAGGUGAAAUCCCGAAGCUUAACUUCGGAACUGCCUUUGAUACUGCAAGUCUCGAGGAUGGGAGAGGUGAGUGGAACUGCGAGUGUAGAGGUGAAAUUCGUAGAUAUUCGCAAGAACACCAGUGGCGAAGGCGGCUCACUGGCCCAUUACUGACGCUGAGGUGCGAAAGCGUGGGGGAGCAAACAGGAUUAGAUACCCUAGUAGUCC